GGGGAAUAUUGCACAAUGGGGGAAACCCUGAUGCAGCGACGCCGCGUGGAGGAAGAAGGUCUUCGGAUUGUAAACUCCUGUUGUUGAGGAAGAUAAUGACGGUACUCAACAAGGAAGUGACGGCUAACUACGUGCCAGCAGCCGCGGUAAAACGUAGGUCACAAGCGUUGUCCGGAAUUACUGGGUGUAAAGGGAGCGCAGGCGGGAAGACAAGUUGGAAGUGAAAACUAUGGGCUUAACCCAUAAACUGCAUUUGAAACUGUGGUUCUUGAGUGAAGUAGAGAUAAGCGGAAUUCCUAGUGUAGCGGUGAAAUGCGUAGAUAUUAGGAGGAACAUCAGUGGCGAAGGCGGCUUACUGGGCUUUAACUGACGCUGAGGCUCGAAAGCGUGGGGAGCAAACAGGAUUAGAUACCCUGGUAGUCCACGCCGUAAACGAUGAUUACUAGGUGUGGGGGGACUGACCCCUUCCGUGCCGCAGCAAACGCAAUAAGUAAUCCACCUGGGGAGUACGACCGCAAGGUUGAAACUCAAAGGAAUUGACGGGGGCCCGCACAAGCAGUGGAGUAUGUGGAUUAAUUCGAAGCAACGCGAAGAACCUUACCAGGUCUUGACAUCGUAUGCAUAGCUCAGAGAUGAGUGAAAUCUCUUCGGAGACAUAUAGACAGGUGGUGCAUGGUUGUCGUCAGCUCGUGUCGUGAGAUGUUGGGUUAAGUCCCGCAACGAGCGCAACUCUUACUGUUAGUUGCUACGCAAGAGCACUCUAGCAGGACUGCCGUUGACAAAACGGAGGAAGGUGGGGAUGACGUCAAAUCAUCAUGCCCCUUAUGACCUGGGCCUCACACGUACUACAAUGGCUGUCAACAGAGGGAAGCAAAGCCGCGAGGUGGAGCGAACCCCUAAAAGCAGUCUUAGUUCGGAUUGUAGGCUGCAACCCGCCUACAUGAAGUCGGAAUUGCUAGUAAUCGCAGAUCAGCAUGCUGCGGUGAAUACGUUCCCG
rnacentral:rRNA from 1 species